UACGUAGGGUGCAAGCGUUAAUCGGAAUUACUGGGCGUAAAGCGUGCGCAGGCGGUUAUAUAAGACAGUUGUGAAAUCCCCCGGGCUCAACCUGGGGAACUGCAUCUGUGACUGUAUAGCUAGAGUACGGUAGAGGGGGGAUGGAAUUCCGCGUGUAGCAGUGAAAUGCGUAGAUAUGCGGAGGAACACCGAUGGCGAAGGCAAUCCCCUGGACCUGUACUGACGCUCAUGCACGAAAGCGUGGGGAGCAAAC
rnacentral:rRNA from 1 species